AGCUGGUUUCUUCUUCGGUGAUAAUUCCAUUUAGUGUUUAUCACCGAAAGCAAACUCGCUCU
rfam:Caenorhabditis brenneri strain PB2801 C_brenneri-6.0.1_Cont34.27, whole genome shotgun sequence.